rnacentral:misc_RNA from 1 species
GGUGUAUCUUCACUAUUAAUAAUUGCUUUAAUAAAAAUGGUAAAAGACGUUGAUCGACCCUGUACUUGCGUUUGAAUAGACUAAGAAAGAAGCUGAAGAUGAGCCAAAGAGCGUCGCGUUUGGCAUCCAUCAAUGUGUCUGGAGAGAUUUUGGAGCGGGUAUGCUAUUUGUCGGGUUCAUGAUGAUCUAGUGUUAUUUGCUUAUGAAUACCACCAGAUCUCUCAUCAUUUCUGCUGCUGUAUUGCUGAUGACCAAUCAACAGAAAUU